rnacentral:lncRNA from 1 species
AGCUUGCUGCCUGACAGUGGGUGGACAUAAAACCGCUUCACCUCUAAAACAGACUUGAUGAGCUGGUAGACAGCUCUUUUGGAUUGUGAACUCCCAAGAGAAGAAAGAGAGGAACAUGACUUCGAAUGCAGAGAGACACGGUAAAACCCAAGCAAAAUACUAAACAAGCAUCCAAGUGGAACUGAC